rnacentral:rRNA from 1 species
CCAGACUCCUACGGGAGGCAGCAGUGGGGGAUAUUGCACAAUGGGGGGAACCCUGAUGCAGCGACGCCGCGUGGGUGAAGGAGUGCUUCGGCAUGUAAAGCCCUAUCGGCAGGGAAGAAGCAAGACGGUACCUGACUAAGAAGCCCCGGCUAACUACGUGCCAGCAGCCGCGGUAAUACGUAGGGGGCAAGCGUUAUCCGGAUUUACUGGGUGUAAAGGGAGCGUAGACGGUGAUGCAAGUCAGAAGUGAAAGCCCGGGGCUCAACUCCGGGACUGCUUUUGAAACUGUGUAACUGGAGUGCAGGAGAGGUAAGCGGAAUUCCUGGUGUAGCGGUGAAAUGCGUAGAUAUCAGGAGGAACACCAGUGGCGAAGGCGGCUUACUGGACUGUAACUGACGUUGAGGCUCGAAAGCGUGGGGAGCAAACAGGAUUAGAUACCCUCGUAA